rnacentral:rRNA from 1 species
GAUGAACGCUGGCGGCGUGCUUAACACAUGCAAGUCGAACGGUGAAAGAGAGCUUGCUCUCUGGAUCAGCGGCGAACGGGUGAGUAACACGUGAGCAAUCUGCCCCUGACUCUGGGAUAAGCGCUGGAAACGGCGUCUAAUACCGGAUACGAGCUGCGAAGGCAUCUUCAGCAGCUGGAAAGAACUUCGGUCAGGGAUGAGCUCGCGGCCUAUCAGCUAGUUGGUGAGGUAACGGCUCACCAAGGCGUCGACGGGUAGCCGGCCUGAGAGGGUGACCGGCCACACUGGGACUGAGACACGGCCCAGACUCCUACGGGAGGCAGCAGUGGGGAAUAUUGCACAAUGGGCGAAAGCCUGAUGCAGCAACGCCGCGUGAGGGACGACGGCCUUCGGGUUGUAAACCUCUUUUAGCAGGGAAGAAGCGAAAGUGACGGUACCUGCAGAAAAAGCACCGGCUAACUACGUG